CGCUGGCGGAAUGCUUUACACAUGCAAGUCGAGCGGCAGCGCGGGGGCAACCCUGGCGGCGAGCGGCGAACGGGUGAGUAACAUAUCGGAACGUACCCAGUCGUGGGGGAUAACUAUCCGAAAGGAUAGCUAAUACCGCAUACGACCUGAGGGUGAAAGCGGGGGACCGUAAGGCCUCGCGCGAUUGGAGCGGCCGAUAUCGGAUUAGCUAGUUGGUGAGGUAAAGGCUCACCAAGGCGACGAUCCGUAGCUGGUCUGAGAGGACGACCAGCCACACUGGAACUGAGACACGGUCCAGACUCCUACGGGAGGCAGCAGUGGGGAAUUUUGGACAAUGGGGGCAACCCUGAUCCAGCCAUUCCGCGUGAGUGAAGAAGGCCUUCGGGUUGUAAAGCUCUUUCAGCAGGAACGAAACGGUGGUCCCUAAUACGGGCUACUAAUGACGGUACCUGAAGAAGAAGCACCGGCUAACUACGUGCCAGCAGCCGCGGUAAUACGUAGGGUGCGAGCGUUAAUCGGAAUUACUGGGCGUAAAGCGUGCGCAGGCGGUUAUAUAAGACAGAUGUGAAAUCCCCGGGCUUAACCUGGGAACUGCGUUUGUGACUGUAUAACUCGAGUGUGGCAGAGGGGGGUGGAAUUCCACGUGUAGCAGUGAAAUGCGUAGAGAUGUGGAGGAACACCGAUGGCGAAGCAGCCCCCUGGGUCAACACUGUCGCUCAUGCACGAAAGCGUGGGGAGCAAACAGGAUUAGAUACCCUGGUAGUCCACGCCCUAACGAUGCGAACUAGGUGUUGGGGAA
rnacentral:rRNA from 1 species